rnacentral:rRNA from 1 species
UACAGAGGGGGCAAGCGUUGUUCGGAAUUACUGGGCGUAAAGAGCUCGUAGGCGGUGUGUCGCGUCGGCCGUGAAAACCUGCAGCUUAACUGUGGGCUUGCGGUCGAUACGGGCAUCACUGGAGUUCGGCAGGGGAGACUGGAAUUCCUGGUGUAGCGGUGAAAUGCGCAGAUAUCAGGAGGAACACCGGUGGCGAAGGCGGGUCUCUGGGCCGAUACUGACGCUGAGGAGCGAAAGCGUGGGGAGCGAACAGG